GACGAACGCUGGCGGCGCGCCUAACACAUGCAAGUCGAACGAGCGAGAGAGAGCUUGCUUUCUCGAGCGAGUGGCGAACGGGUGAGUAACGCGUGAGGAACCUGCCCCAAAGAGGGGGACAACAGUUGGAAACGACUGCUAAUACCGCAUAAGCCCACGGUGCCGCAUGGCACAGAGGGAAAAGGAGCAAUCCGCUUUGAGAUGGCCUCGCGUCCGAUUAGCUAGUUGGUGAGGUAAUGGCCCACCAAGGCGACGAUCGGUAGCCGGACUGAGAGGUUGAACGGCCACAUUGGGACUGAGACACGGCCCAGACUCCUACGGGAGGCAGCAGUGGGGAAUAUUGCACAAUGGGGGAAACCCUGAUGCAGCGACGCCGCGGGGAGGAAGAAGGUCUUCGGAUUGUAAACUCCUGUUGUUGGGGAAGAUAAUGACGGUACCCAACAAGGAAGUGACGGCUAACUACGUA
rnacentral:rRNA from 1 species